AUUGAACGCUGGCGGAAUGCUUUACACAUGCAAGUCGAACGGCAGCACGGACUUCGGUCUGGUGGCGAGUGGCGAACGGGUGAGUAAUGUAUCGGAACGUGCCCAGUCGUGGGGGAUAACGUAGUGAAAAUUACGCUAAUACCGCAUACGAUCCAUGGAUGAAAGCGGGGGAUCGCAAGACCUCGCGCGAUUGGCGCGGCCGAUAUCAGAUUAGGUAGUGGGUGGGGUAAAGGCCCACCAAGCCAACGAUCUGUAGCUGGUCUGAGAGGACGACCAGCCACACUGGAACUGAGACACGGUCCAGAGUCCUACGGGAGGCAGCAGUGGGGAAUUUUGGACAAUGGGCGAAAGCCUGAUCCAGCCAUUCCGCGUGCAGGAUGAAGGCCCUCGGGUUGUAAACUGCUUUUGUACAGAACGAAAAGGUUUCUACUAAUACUAGGAGCUCAUGACGGUACUGUAAGAAUAAGCACCGGCUAACUACGUGCCAGCAGCCGCGGUAA
rnacentral:rRNA from 1 species